GACGAACGCUGGCGGCGUGCUUAACACAUGCAAGUCGAACGGAAAGGCCCUGCUUUUGUGGGGUGCUCGAGUGGCGAACGGGUGAGUAACACGUGAGUAACCUGCCCUUGACUUUGGGAUAACUUCAGGAAACUGGGGCUAAUACCGGAUAGGAGCUCCUGCUGCAUGGUGGGGGUUGGAAAGUUUCGGCGGUUUGGGAUGGACUCGCGGCUUAUUAGCUUGUUGGUGGGGGAGUGGCUGACCAAGGCUUUGACGGGUAGCCGGCCUGAGAGGGUGAACGGCCACAUUGGGACUAGGAUACGGCCCAGACUCCUACGGGAGGCAGCAGUGGGGAAUAUUGCACAAUGGGCGGAAGCCUGAUGAAGCAACGCCGCGUGCGGGAUGACGGCCUUCGGGUUGUAAACCGCUUUCGCCUGUGACGAAGCGUGAGUGACGGUAAUGGGUAAAGAAGCACCGGCUAACUACGUG
rnacentral:rRNA from 1 species